rnacentral:rRNA from 1 species
AUGGCCUCCAUCUCCAUCCCCAUCCCCGACGAGCUCAUGGAGGAGAUCUUCCUCCGCCUGCCCACCCUGAGGGCGCUCGCCCUCGCCUCUGCCACCUGCACCUCGUUCCGUCGCGUCAUCAAAGGCCGCACCUUCCGCCGCCGCUUCAGCGCGCUCCACCGGCCUCCCCUCCUUGGCUUCAUGGACGCGGCCGGAUUCCAGCCCGCCCAGGCGCCGCACCCCUCUGCCCCGCUCACCGGCGCCUUCGGCCGGUGUGCCGUGGAUUUCUCCUUCGUUCCGGCCGUUGUUUCUUCCUCCUCCUGCUACGUCUCGCCCGAUGAGGGAGGCCCCCGCUGGCGCCCCCGCGACGUCCGCGAUGGCCGUGUCCUCCUUGAUUGGAGAUCCCUCCAAGCCCCCGUCCUCAACUACUGGAGCUACCCCGAAGAAGGCUACGAAGUAAGCAUCCUCAUGGAUAGUAGAGAGCACGUUGACUUCUACGACUAUGGUCUCCGCCUUGCGUGGACCAGACGGGAGUGGUGCAACGCCGCUGACUUUCACCUCGCCGUCUGUGACCCGCUGUCGAGAAGAUACGUGCUGCUUCCAACCAUACCUGAGGACCUCGCCGCUCAGCCGCAGGAUCGCCUAUGGGAAUUCGAGCCUGUGCUUGCUCCCAACACCAGUGAUGACGGCGAGGAGGAGCCCUUCAAGGUGAUAUGCAUAGCAAGAUACCGGACAAAGCUCGUCCUCUUUGUCUUCCGGUCCACAACUAUGCAAUGGUGUGUGGUCGAGUCCCCUGUCUUCCCUUCUUUCGACGACAUGUCCUGUUUUGAUUGUGUACGCGGCUGCUUCUACUGGACACAGCCUUGGUGUUGGAGUGACCAUUUGAUGGUGCUGGACACACGCACUCUGAGGUUUUCAACUAUCAAUUUUCUCACUGGCUACCAUCUGCAGCUCACAGAUACUGACCCCAUCUUUGAUAAUCGGCGUCCAAAUGCACUUGUUGUGGGUAGGGAAGGAGCCAUUGAGAUGUUUUCUCUUGUCUGUCAACACGGGACCUUUGCUCUCCACCAUACCUCUCUGCAGAAUAAUUCAGAUGAAUGGGAGCUGAAGAAGAUCAUACAGCUGCCUCGGCAGUAUUAUGACUAUUCUGUUUCCACAGUGGGUGCAGCCCAAGGAUUCUUGUUCUUCCAAUGCGCUCCGGACGGCAUUCACUUAGAGAAUGUGGAUUAUUAUUCAAUGGACGUCAAGACGUAUGAAAUUACCAAAGUUUGUACGAAGAUGGACGACUUCUUAAAUCUCAAACGUGCUCUCCCCUACUUUAGCUUCCCACCGUUGUUAUCGGAACCAACUAUUUGA